rnacentral:pre_miRNA from 1 species
UCCCUUGGAGAACUUGUUAAAAUGCAGAUUCUGAUUCAUAGAUUUGGGAUGGGGCCUGAGAUUCUGCAUUUCUAACAAGCUCCCAAGUGAUGCC